rnacentral:rRNA from 1 species
AUGAAUGUAAUAACUUGGAACUGUCGCGGGCUUGGGAACCCGGAGACAGUUCGGGAGCUUCACAAUCUGGUGAGGCUAGAAGCGCCCGCCCUUGUUUUUGUGUGUGAGACAAAGAUCAAGGGUAAUCGUGUGACCGAUCUAACAAAGCGACUUGGGUUUGAAGGUUGUUUUUCAGUUGAUAGUGCAGGCCUCAGUGGGGGUUUGGCGCUGUUUUGGUCC